UGAAUGCGGGGCGGUGGGAGCGGUCUGUAACGGGAGCGAGCGCUCUGUGGAGGGGCUGUAGGUUCCCCCCCCCUCAGACGCCCCCUGAGGUGGGGUCCGGCCCGGACCUGCUCGGUGGGAAACGGGGCGGGCGCGGCCGCCGCCUCCUCCCCUCCACACUCGCCCGGGGCCGCACUGACAGCAAAUGUGGCAUAUCAGAGUUUGGAAUCACCAUCGCCUGUGUAUCUGAGGGUGACAGAAUAGGUUGCUACAGAGACAAGUACAAUCUUUAGAUGGAGUUAGCAACUGUUACCUGCAUCAAAGAAAGAGAUCAAGAAUGAGCAUGAGUUGGAGAAGACCAGUGAAGCCUCCCAGCAUGGAAGGAUGUGAAAAAGACCCAACAGCAGAGAGUAAGAGGAUGUGAGCUGUGCUGUGCUCACAAUGAAAUCAUUGGGAAUUUUGCCAUGAAAGCAGAACUGAGUUGUUCUUUCAGAGCAGAGAAAAGGCAGAGAAUCAGAGUCUCUCCCUGCCUGGUCAAGGCUCUCCCUCACCUCCAAUACAAAUGCAGCAUUUCAGUACCCAUCACCAUAUUAUCUAGGCGCCACCAUAAGAUUAAGAAGGUCUGCAGUGACAUUCUCAACAUGAUCUGUUCAAAGGUCGUUAGCAGAGCCUUUCAUACUGGAAAAGAUUGGAGAAGAGUACAGAAGUGAGCCACAGAAGGAGAGAAAAAGGCAAAGGAGGUGGUAAGCUGUCAAAGCCAUUUUGGUUGUGCUCAUCCUGUGUGGCUUGCUUAACUAGUACUGAAGGAUAGGAACCCCAUGUUGCCUGCCUUUAUUCUGCUACAGGGACUAUACUACUUGUUGUACACUACUGUCACCUAAGAAAGUUAUCUCACAUGGCCUCAAGAUUGCUGUCCCUGUGCUUUCUUCAGAUGCUGUUUACAUGCUUGUUCUUUAUUACUUCUGUAUAUGGCUGCUUCAGAGCAGGAUAUUUGUCUCAAAAAAUCCUAGUAGAGAGCAAGCACUGCAACUCAGGGAGCCACCUUCUCCAAACUAAUAUAUCAGUUAAACUCUUAUUUUUAGGUUAGUGUGCAAAUCCUACAAACUGUGUUUGAAGAAGCCAAAAAGGGUGUUUUUCAGUGUACACAAAGUUAGACAGGACCCAUGGAAUCAGGAAAGAUGAUUUUAUCCCACAGGCCCAGUCCUGCUUCUUCUGAAGUUGGUUGCUGUACUGUCUCUGAUUGCCAUGAGCACAUACUGAGGACAACCUUGGGACUGUGCAUGGUGAAAGGUGUCACUGGCCAUCCUGUGUUCACUGGUGCAAUCUGUUGCUACUGUUUCAAGAAGUAUAUGAUAAGUGAAAAAUUUGCCAAACUCUUUUUUUUACCACUGCAAUUAAGAAGCUUGGUUCCAUCCUGAGGAGGCCAAUGACAGUAUGUUGGCGUGCUGCUCAAACCAACCCCCGGAGGUUUUUUGUACCCCUUUUGGUACAAAAACACUAGGGGAUUUACACUAGGGGAUAAAUAGGUGGUUCCAAAGCAAGAAGGAAAGAGCCAAAGUUGGAAGCUAACCACAAUACGUGGGUGUAAACGAUUACCAAAGGCUUCCAGUAACUCUGCUAUCAUCAGAGACUGACUUUAUGGGUAUGGCCUCAAGAAGUUUCCCUGCACUUAAUUAAAGAGGCAGAUAAGUAUCUAGGUGGAGUGUGCAGAUAGGUUCUGAAUGAGUUAUCCACUAAGGCUGGUUCGCUGCACCUAUUGUUAAAGCCAGAGUAUAAUAUCAGAUUAAUGCAUUAUAUUUGCCUAUUAUAGCACUAUGUCAUCAUUAUAUGACAUGUUAUAAUUAAAGCCCUGCAUUAGAAACAAAACUAUUUGGCUUGGGAUAAGUUGCCUUUACGACUUCUGUGGUUAUGAUUUCCUCCUUUUCUUAACCCCUUAAAACUGCAUAAUAUAGCUAUUUGUAACUGUAUAAAGAAAGUUUCUAGUUUCAGAUUCUAAUCUCAGGUAAUUCAAUGUAA